rnacentral:rRNA from 1 species
GCGAGGUGGAGCAAAUCUCAAAAAGACCGUCCCAGUUUCGGAUCGCAGGCUGCAACCCGCCUGCGUGAAGUUGGAAUCGCUAGUAAUCGCGGAUCAGCAUGCCGCGGUGAAUACGUUCCCGGGCCUUGUACACACCGCCCGUCACACCAUGAGAGUCGGGAACACCCGAAGUCCGUAGCCUAACCGCAAGGGGGGCGCGGCCGAAGGUGGGUUCGAUAAUUGGGGUGAAGUCGUAACAAGGUAGC